rnacentral:rRNA from 1 species
CAGCAGCCACGGGAAUACGUAGGGUGCAAGCGUUAAUCGGAAUUACUGGGCGUAAAGCGUGCGCAGGCGGUUAUAUAAGUCAGAUGUGGAAUCCCCGGGCUUAACCUGGGAACUGCAUUUGUGACUGGCGGGCUAGAGUAUGGCAGAGGGGGGUAGAAUUCCACGUGUAGCAGUGAAAUGCGUAGAUAUGCGGAGGAACACCGAUGGCGAAGGCAAUCCCCUGGGCCUGCACUGACGCUCAUGCACGAAAGCGUGGGGAGCAAACAGGAUUAGAUACCCCUGUAGUCCCUGUCUCUUAUAC